UUCACACGAGGGUAAGGUAGGGUUUCGCCCCAAGUACUGACAAGUUCUCCAUUAAUGAAGCCUGGGAGCACAGUGGGGUUGAAGGAAAUGUUUCAGAGAGAAGAACAAAGAAGAAACUGAGCUGAGAUUCAAAUUCGUUCUGCUGUGUUCCAAGUCCUUGCUUGGAGAGUUCUACUCCGCUUUGAGGAUUAAUGCAGUCAAAGCGCCCAGUGGGACUGUGCCUGGUAUAAGAAGAGAGAUGGUGAUCCACUAAAAAGGAAAGAAAUGUAAAUUGGGGAACAUCAUAUUCCAAAUACGCAGUUCACAGGUUCAACAGCAUCUAAAAGUUUCCAGGCUUGACUUCUCCUGGGAGAACACAGUGUAGGACAUUCCGAAUGACAGCUUUUAGGUGUGUAUCUUCUAAAAAGCUGAAGUGGUUUUUGCAUUGUCUCCUGGGCAAUUAGUGAGUGACUUGAACUGAAGGAAGCAUUAAAAUUAAAGAUACUUUGAUUAAGUG